rnacentral:misc_RNA from 1 species
UUGGGUAUAGGGGCGAAA